AUUACUGGGCGUAAAGCGCACGCAGGCGGUUUGUUAAGUGGAUGUUGAAAUCCCCGGGCUUAACCUGGGAACUGCAUCCAAGACUGGCAAGCUAAAGUCUCGUAGAGGGGAGGUAGAAUUCCAGGUGUAGCGGUGAAAUGCGUAGAGAUCUGGAGGAAUACCGGUGGCGAAGGCGGCCUCCUGGACGAAGACUGACGCUCAGGUGCGAAAGCGUGGGGAGCAAACAGGAUUAGAUACCCUGGUAGUCACGCUGUAAACGAUGUCGAUUUGGAGGUUGUGCCCUUGAGGCGUGGCUUCCGAAGCUAACGCGUUAAAUCGACCGCCUGGGGAGUACGGCCGCAAGGUUAAAACUCAAAUGAAUUGACGGGGGCCCGCACAAGCGGUGGAGCAUGUGGUUUAAUUCGAUGCAACGCGAAGAACCUUACCUACUCUUGACAUCCAGCGAAUCCUGUAGAGAUACGGGAGUGCCUUCGGGAACGCUGAGACAGGUGCUGCAUGGCUGUCGUCAGCUCGUGUUGUGAAAUGUUGGGUUAAGUCCCGCAACGAGCGCAACCCUUAUCCUUUGUUGCCAGCGGUUCGGCCGGGAACUCAAAGGAGACUGCCAGUGAUAAACUGGAGGAAGGUGGGGAUGACGUCAAGUCAUCAUGGCCCUUACGAGUAGGGCUACACACGUGCUACAAUGGCGUAUACAAAGAGAAGCGACCUCGCGAGAGCAAGCGGACCUCAUAAAGUACGUCGUAGUCCGGAUUGGAGUCUGCAACUCGACUCCAUGAAGUCGGAAUCGCUAGUAAUCGUGGAUCAGAAUGCCACGGUGAAUACGUUCCCGGGCCUUGUACACACCGCCCGUCACACCAUGGGAGUGGGUUGCAAAAGAAGUAGGUAGCUUAACCUUCGGGAGGGCGCAGCUACCAUGCAGUCGAGCGGUAGCGGGAAGAAGUUUGCUCUCUCCGCUGAAGAGCGGCACACGGGUGAAUAGUGUCUGGAUAUCUGCGUGAUGGAGGGGGAUAUCUAGUGGAAACGGUCUCUAAUACCGCAUAACCUCACGAGACCAAUGUGGGGCACCUUCGGCCCUCGUGCCCUCAUAUGACCCCAUAUGGUAUUAUCUAAUGUGAGAGGUAGUGGCUCCCCUACGACAAUAUCCCUAUGUGGUCAGAGAAGAAGACCCCCCACUGUGGAUGUGACACACGCCCCACACUCCUACGGGAGGCCGCUGUGGAAAAUAUUGCACAGUGGGCGCACCCGUGAUGCCCCCGUGCCGCGUGUAAGAAAAGCGUCUUCGUUUUGAAAAAUUUUUUCAAUAGGGAAGAGGGUG
rnacentral:rRNA from 1 species